GGGUGUAGCCCUAAAAAGCAAAAAAAAAAAAUUAGCCCAACCCAGGCAUGGGGAGGAAGUUUGCUUGGGUUGGAGUAGAGAGUCGUUCACAUAGGUAACUGAAGCUUUUGUACAUAUCUUCAAAUUUCAAGAAGAAACACUUGGAGUAGAGAAAGCAUGAAAGCCUUGGCUUGUAGUGCCCUAUUGGAAGCUUGGGAAUCUCAGAGGUAUUAGGUCCAUAUGUCUUCUUUAUACAGGAGAUGGUGUUGAGUAUUUCAUCUUUUGCUACACAUUAGUUUGGGGGCUAGAAGCAUCCCUGAAGAUCAAGUCAAUCCUAUUUGUGUUCCCCUUCACUGCGUGUGCAGAUCUUCUCUUGACAGCAGCUCUAAGUCACCAGCAAUUCUAUGAAUUAUGUCAAGUAGGACUAAUCCUUUGUUGAGUACCUCCCUUUUUUAAAAGUUUGAAAAAAGAAAAAAGGAAUGAAAAGCUGCUUGUAUCUGGCCAGCUAUGAUUUAGCCCUGGGUAGAGAGUUGUUACAGGCUGAGAGGUUGCCAGCCUGCUCCCGUGACUCACCUUCUCUCGUCAAGACCAGUUGAGGCAACACAGUCAGAAGGGGGAGCAUAAGCUCAAACAUAAUUAGGCAUUCUGAGCGGAGGGAAUUAGCUCUUGGUGAUUAGGGAACAAUUUCUGCAAUUUAAGGUCAGACUCUUGUCAACUUAUCCAGUAUACUGGGCCACUUCUUCUUUUCCAGUGAACGUUGCUGUUUUCUCUUUGAAGGUCAAUUUAACAAACUGGGCCAAUUUUGUUCCUUAAGAUUUUUGAUGCAGAGCUAAUGACACACAGAAAGUUUAAGGCAGAUAUGUUGGCUACAUCUGUAUAGUGACGAGGAUCCGGAGCCGUGCCUGAUCUUGGGACACCAAGUGGAAAUCCAUGCAUUUCACUGUAGGACCCUAGUUUCUGGAAGUUGAGGCAAUAUUUGGCCUGUGAGGUUGUGUCAGGUGUGCUUUGUCCAACGGAAUACUGAUUACAGUGGUUGGAGGCCAGUGUGACUUUAGACAACUGGCACCUGUGCGUGAUUGAAUUACCCAGAGUUAGCAGUGUCCCAGCAGAAAACUCAUUUAUUCUCCUCUGUCACUUUCAUCCAUAAUUAACCCCCUUAGUUGAAUCAUUGAUCCCAGUGUAAGAUGUAUUAUCACAUUUCACUUUAUUCAGUAUAGUCUCUUCCCAAUGUCACUCAUUUCACCUUGUUUCUCAGUCUUGCCUAAAACCCAGGGCUCUGGGGCUCAGUGGAAACCUUUCAAAGCAGCAUUCACUAAACUGGAACUGGCUAAUCUGUUGGGGUCUAGACAAAAGCAUUAAUCUUUAGUUUUAUCUCUCAGAUUAUUUUCUUAAGGAUUUCAAUCCAAAUCCCCCAAUUUAUAGCUAAGAUAGUUGAGGUCCAUAGUGGUUAAGUGACCCUCGGGUUGGUUGUGGGCCUGGGAUUGAAAUCUGGGUGUCUAGGGACAGUCAUUUGAAUAUGACACUCUAAGGCCUUUCACUCUAUCGGGUGUAGAUGUUCCAUAUUCCCCUCCAUUGAGUAUUUCCUUCCCCUCCUCCGAUCUUGGGACCUCUGGGUAUGAUUUUCUUCCUCCUCAUGCUUUCUAUCUUGAAGUUGCCAGCAUCAUGGUUUGAAGCAUUGGAGAGGGUUACGGAGGGUUAUGGCUCAUUGCUGAGAGUACAUUUGUGCCAUCCAAGAAAUUCAUUCAUGAAGAAACUAAGUCACAGGCUAUCCCAGCAUCUCUGAGGCUUAUCUUUAAGGAACACAAACAGUUGACUAACCUAUUUGCAUUUCCUCUAAACUCUUCCCUUAAGCUUUAAAAUAUCUGCUGAAGGAGGAAGAAACUAUGUCUGUCCAUACAGGAGAAAUAAUGAAUUCGUGACUUCCUCCUUGUCUCUUGUUGUAUUUUUAAGCCCCAAUAUGUUGUUCUCAAAGCUGUUGUUACAUAAAAUUUUUAACAUUUAUAAAAGUAGGCAGGAUUGUAGAGUGAACCCUCAAAUAGUUUUUACCCAAUUUCAGUAGUUAGCAAUUCAUGACCAAUGUUUUUUCAUCUCUGCCCACCCAGUUUCCCGCCUUCAUAUUACUUGGAAGGAAAGCUAGACUUCAUUUCAUUUAUUAGUAUUUCAGUAUACAUCUCUGAGAUAAGCUUUUUUUCCUUUUUUCCCCCCAGAUUUACUGAGGUAUAAUUAGUAACAUUGUUAAGAUUUAAAGUGUUACAUUAUGAUCUGACAUGUGUACCUUGCUAGUUAAUUAACAUAUCUGUUACCUCAAUUUAUUUAACAGAUAGCUUUAAGGUAUAUUCAUAUGCCAUUAUUAUAUUUAAAUUAACAAUUUUUAAAUCACUGACUAUUCAUCUAGUGUUCAAAUUAGAAUUGUCUCAUGCAUGUCAUAAUUUGUUUCUCGUAGUUUGAAUCAGGCUCCAAGUAAUUGCUACAUACUGUAACUGGUUAUAAGUUCUAAAUCCCUUAAGAGCCCUUUAAUCUCUAGGUUCAAAAUCUGUCUCUCUGCAAUUUAUUGAAGAAACUAAAGAUGUUCAUCCUAGAAUGUUCACUACAGUCCAGAUUUUGCCGAUUACUUGCCCAGGGUGUCCUCUGACAUGUAUCUCUGUCACCUUUAUUUUCUAUGAAUUGGUAAUUGCAUCUGAAAGUUGUAUUAAAUUAUUUUCUCAAUAAAAUGGAAAAAAUACAUACUGAUGUGCCCUGGAGGGUAGAGUGAAGUUGUUGCAGGAGGUGCUGGCUUUUUGGAUGUGGAGGAGGAAGAUUGUGAACGGAGGAGGAUGUGACAGCCAAAAGCAUAGACACUGGAGCCAGACUGUCUGCAUUCUGUCACUUCUUAGCUGUGGAACCCUGGGAAAAUUCCUUGACCUCUCUGUGUCUCAUCUGUUCAGUGAGAACAGUAACAGGACCUACCUCACUGGGUUGUGAGGAUCAAGAAGCUUGAGAUCUGUGUGUAUAAUAUGUUUAGAGCAUUGCCAUUGCUGUCAUGUGAACACUUCAUAGAUGUUAGCUGUUAUUUAUGAAGUUAGAAGGGAGUUCAGAGCAAGGAGAAGAGUGAAACAAAGGCACAUUUGUGGAGGAGAAGAACAGCCAAAAGACCAAUCUGCUGAUGAUCCUCUUGUGACUACUUUUUCUCCCUCCGUUGCAUUCUCUGUCUUCCUCAUCUCUCUCCAUCUUUGAUCCCAUGCAGGUGAUUUUGAUCAUGCACACUUGGCGUGCAAGUGAAGAAGAAAGCAAAGCAGUGACACCCAUGCAGAGUGGUGUUGAUCAGGAGUGAGGGGCCUAGGUGUUGCAGGGCAUCUGCAUGUGUUCUGCUGCUGCCACAGCCCUUAACCUCCUGUCUGCCUCUCAUCCUGCUUCUGUGCUUUAAGAGUCAAUGGCAGAAGUUCAUACUGGUGUUCCCCAUCUAUUCCUAAGGGUUACCUGACCUUCAUGUGGAACCCCCAGGCUGUAGGCCUGAGUAUUUUAUUCUCUUGAACUUAUUUAUCUGAACCUUUUUAUGCAGUCAGAUUGCAUUCUCUGCCUUUUCUUAUCCCAGUUUGCAUUCAUCUUGGAACAUUCACAUCUUCGGCUGUGCAAGAUGGGCACUGUUUCUCAUGCCGUGGGAGUGCCUGCCUCUCCCAGAUCAUUCCCUUUUCUGUCAGUUUAACCUCAAGCUCUCUGGCUUGUUUCAUGACAAUGAUUAUUAGAGAGUCUUACCUGUCAUCGAACAUUUCCUGUUUGGAUUUGCAUGGUUCCAGUGUCCUUCCAAGCAUGGACUGCCAAACUACACGCCAACCAUUUUUGUGAACGUGAUUUAAUUGGAACAGACCCAUGCUCAUUCCUUUACGUGUCAUCAGUGGUUGCUGUUUCACUACAGCAGCAGAGUUGAGUAGUUGCAACGGAGACCCCGUGGACCACAAAACCAAAAACAUUUACUCUCUGGCCCUUCCCAGAAAGUUUGCUGAUGUCUGCUUUAAAGAGAAGGAAAUUAUCAGGUUCAUGUGGGACCAAAGAACUGCCAGCUAAAAUAGAGAAAUUUGGAAACUCUAUAAUUUUUUUUAAGUGGGAAACACUGGAAAGGUUACCUGUGAUUUGCAUGCACAUGGGUAUCAAAAUAACAUGUGUGCUUGUAGAUGGGGGAGGAAUGGCAGGCUUCCUCCUGGUGUCAAGGCUUCUGGGCCCUACAGUUGUACGAUGGACAGCUCUCCCUCUUUGCUUUUCUAUUUUACCAUGAUUUCUGGGGGCAAAUAUCUUGGGCUAUAAAUGGGAUUAGGAUACUCUCCGAUGGAUGCUGUAUCUCAGAUAUUCUUGGGUUCCCUGCUGAGGAAGGCCACUGCUGCCUUCUGCUUCAGGCUGGCCAGGCCCUGUCUGCUGCUUACCUUGGGUUCCUGCUGCUCACCUUGAGGAGAAUCUCUUUCAUUGGCCUAUGGUCUUGUUUAUUUAGUAGUACCUGUGCCAAUUGACACUGAGUCAAAGGACAGUUUAGACAGAGGUCUACUUUGAAAGGUUAGCUAGUAGCAAGUAGGUCCGGCUUAAUUUCUCCUUGAAUCUGGAGAUCUUACUAAAAGGGAGAAAGGAGUGAUUUAUUUUUUGACUGGAUUAACCAAUUUGUAUUGGUCACUAUGAGGCAAUUUCAUAUAUGUUAUCUCAUUUAAGUCCCCAUAAAGACACUGCAGGGAAGUAAUAUAAACUUUCAGGAAACAGACUCAGAGAAAUUAAGUAAACUGCAAACAUCCCAUGCUGUAAGCAUUAUUGUCUCUAUUAGCAAGUGUCUGAGCUUCUUUUAGUUUUCCAAUCCAUAAUCCUUACUGCGUAGUCCUCUUCCUUGUGCUCACAACCUGGCUGCUGGAGAUCCAGGCAACAAGAAGGUGAAGGGUACAGGACAAAAGGUAAAUGGACAAUCCAGCCAAGGUUAUCUUCCUAGAUGUUCUACUUGGUGACUACAACUUAUAUCCCAUAGGUCAGCAUCAUAGGGCCAUCCCUUUCUUCAAAGGAACCUGGAAAAUGGGUUGUUUUUUUUUUGGUUUAUUUUAAGCAGGGUACUUUGACACCCCCCCCAAAAAAAAAGUGAACUCUAGGUACAGAAGUGGGGGGGAAUGGUUAUUCAAUAGGCAGUUGACAGUUUAUUUUUAAAGAGGUCAUUCUGAUGCACGGAAAGGUUGAAAAUCUCUGGCCUAAACUCUUACAGUCUUGAUCUCCCUUGUUUCAAGUAAAUUUGAUAGAAUAAAGGUUACUCUCCUCCCCAGUCUCCUGGUAUGAGAGAGAGCCAAGGGAUAUAAUGAUUUCUUUCAGGCAUCCAUGGUAAAACAAGGCAUGUGCCAAUAAGGAAUGAUGACUGCUGGUCAUCCUCAGACAAACGUGGGGAGGGGUGGUGACACCAGGUCUCAUGGCUGCUUAUUGAUGCCAGGUGUCUCAGUGGACCAUCCAGCAGGCCUUUGGUAAGGGCAUGCGGGGGCCAUUCAGAAGCCCUGCAUCCCAUCAGCUCGGCAGAAACUGAUGUGGCACAGACUGAAAUGCUAGGUGGGGAGUGAAGUGUCUGACACCCGCCAGGUGACUGCUGUUUAGUCAGCAGUAACUUUUAUCUUCCAGUCACCAUUCUUGUGGCUCUUUUUUGAUUGUCCCCAAGCUCCAGGCCUGGGUAAGGCCUGCUGAGGUGUAAGUAGAAGAAUUAGCAAUGCCCCCCAAAAUGCAAACACUCAAUGUGGCGGUUUUCGCCUUGAUAAGGAACUGGCUGUCAGAUGCCUGAGUCCUUGCCCCACCCUGGCUACCUACACAUAAAGUUGGAAGGUGGUUUUUGAGGUUUUUUUUUUUUUUUUGGCUGCCAGGCGUAGAGCCUCAAGAGAACAGUGUGUCCUAAAAAAACAAGAAUUUCAGCCUACAAAGGAAAACAGAAUCCACCCUACUUGGUCACCUGAGGGAGUCCUUCAGCUGAGGAGCUGGACUUGCUUUUGUCACUCAGCAAAGAGGGUUAAAACUUAGCUGAAGAGCUGUGAGCGGACCCUUUUUCAAGAGGGGCUUCUGAAACAAAAUGCCAGGAGUGUAACAUAAUACAGAGGUCACAAACAUGGAAAGGCUAUGGCAUCUUGGCAGGUAACAUGAAUGUCUGAAGGGAGUCAGUUGCUCACAGGCAAGCAUGUGUCCCACGGAGGAAAUACUACUUCUAACUCCCUUCCUGUGUCCCUCUCCUCCUACCUUGUUCCUUUUUUUCUCCCUCCCUCCCGCUUUCAUCCUUUUUUUCCCCCUUCCCUUCUAGGAGAAGCCAUAGAUUUGGAAUUUCAUGUGAGGAAUGCUUUGUUAGUGUUGAGCUAGUGGCAUCUGGGCUGUCAUCUGGCUCCUUUUUGUCCAGAUUAGGAAAUGGCACCCUUUCCUUCCUGCCAGCGCCCAUGACUGUGCAAGUCAAGUGGGGGCUGGAUUUCACUGGCCCCGUGGCUGAGCCCUUGUGCCAGGCACAAGCUGCCCAACUUUAGACAGUGACCCCAAAGUUAUAUAUGUUAUGUGAGCCAAGCAAAACAUUUCUGUGGGCCAUGCCUAGCCCACAGGCUAAUCAUUUUGCAGCCUCUAGGGUUGUGGUUGAAACAAAGCUCUGGGGUCAGACUGUCUGGCUUCAAAUCUGGGUUCUGUCAUACAGAGAAAUGAUUCAGUAUUUCUCUGCCUCAACCUCCUAUGUCUGUAGAAUGGGGAUAAAUACUUCUCUCACAAGGCUGUUAAGAAGGUGGAAUUAAAUAAUGCAUGAAAAGUAUUUAGCCACUCAGGGUGUGGCUGAUAGUCAGCACUUGAUAAAUGUUCAUAUCAAAAAAUCAUGUAAAAAUAAGCCACUUAUUGGCUUAUCUCUGCAGGUCAAGUUGUGUUGGCAAGUUCACAGCCUCUGAAAUGGGUGAGCGUGCAUGUCAGCCCUUCAUGAUUUCUUUCUACUUAUGCUCUGUGUCUGGUGACUUUGUGAAGGCAGGGAGCUCAAAAAUCACAAGCUUCACUUACUUACCUACUGAAGCCACAAGAACCUUGGUAAAGUAAAUACUUUGCUUCAACCACUGUUUCUGUCUCAUUGCAUCAAGUGGCUACACGGGUUAACAACUGCCAUCCAUAAUGAUAUCUUAAAAGCAUAAAGAGAUUAAAUUAACUGCAGUGUUAUCUGUUGCAAAAGGAAAAAGUAUUUGGGAUCAUUUUGGAAUAAUUGAUACUGAAAAGAGUUUGAAGAUGUUGAGAUUUGAAGUGGGAAAUGCUCGGUUACUGCAUUCAUCUCCUAAACUGGUGCAUUCUCUACGAGGUAGGCCGCAGAGCCAAGACUCCAUUGUGUAAAAACUGUCCUCAUUGUUUGCCGCCAACAUACAUCAAGCUCUGCAUCAGAUACUGACUCAUCACUGAAACUGUACUGGGGGGAGGGGGUUAAGUCAGCACUGACCCUAAUGAAUCUGCAGUUGGCUUCAAGGAUUUGGUUUGAAAUGAGACCAAACCCAGCAGUAUUGCUCUAGUAGGUCCAGUCCUCAUAUAAAGAGUUAAAUAUAAGUGGCAACCUAUCAACAUACUUAAAAACAUUCUCAGAAAAGGGCAUCCAAGAAACAAGUUAGUGAAACCUACAUCUACCUUAAUUUUUCUUUCACUCCAUUAAUACCUGAGCUUCCCCUAAAUACUCAUUUAAGUCCUGAAUGAGUAUGAAGAAUGUUGGGGAGACUUGCAAAAACAAGGAUUGCCCUAGGAAUUCAAGUUUUACUUGCCUAGCUUGGUUGGGCUACCAUCAGUCUAAAGCUUGUCCCUCCUGCCUUGGGGAUCUCGAUCUUGGCACGGUCGUCAUUCUAGGUCAGGGGUUUCCUUCUUGUGGAGGCUGCUUUGUUCCACACUAGGAUGUUUGGCAGCAUCCCUGGCCUCUAUCCUGUAGAUGCUGACAACACACAUUCCCCAACUUGAGACAACACAAAUGUCACCAACCUUUCCAAAUGCCACCUAAGGGAGAAAAUCUUGGUUGAGAACCACUGCUCUAGACUGAGAAUAGUGGUCAUAAUUUGUAAAUACAAGAGUGUGUGUGUGUUUUAAGUGGCAAAAAAAAAAAAAAAAA
rnacentral:lncRNA from 1 species